GACGAACGCUGGCGGCGUGCUUAACACAUGCAAGUCGAGCGGUAAGGCCCUUUCGGGGUACACGAGCGGCGAACGGGUGAGUAACACGUGGGUGACCUGCCCUCAGUUCUGGGAGUAAGCCUGGGAAACCGGGUCUAAUACUGGAUAUGACCUCAUGACGCAUGUUGUGGGGUGAAAGCCUUGUGCGACUGAGGAUGGGCCCG
rnacentral:rRNA from 1 species